rnacentral:rRNA from 1 species
GUGGGGAAUUUUGGACAAUGGGCGCAAGCCUGAUCCAGCCAUGCCGCGUGAGUGAAGAAGGCCUUCGGGUUGUAAAGCUCUUUCAGCCGGAAAGAAAUUGCUUCUAUUAAUACUAGGAGUAGAUGACGGUACCGGAAGAAGAAGCACCGGCUAACUACGUGCCAGCAGCCGCGGUAAUACGUAGGGUGCGAGCGUUAAUCGGAAUUACUGGGCGUAAAGCGUGCGCAGGCGGUUUGGUAAGACAGACGUGAAAUCCCCGGGCUUAACCUGGGAACUGCGUUUGUGACUGUCAGACUAGAGUGUAGCAGAGGGGGGUAGAAUUCCACGUGUAGCAGUGAAAUGCGUAGAUAUGUGGAGGAAUACCAAUGGCGAAGGCAGCCCCCUGGGUUAACACUGACGCUCAUGCACGAAAGCGUGGGGAGCAAACAGGAUUAGAUACCCCGGUAGUCC